rnacentral:rRNA from 1 species
GGCCUUGACAUACUAAGAACUUUCCAGAGAUGGAUUGGUGCCUUCGGGAACUUAGAUACAGGUGCUGCAUGGCUGUCGUCAGCUCGUGUCGUGAGAUGUUGGGUUAAGUCCGCAACGAGCGCAACCUUUCCUUAUUUGCCAGCGGGUAAUGCCGGGAACUUUAAGGAUACUGCCAGUGACAAACUGGAGGAAGGCGGGGACGACGUCAAGUCAUCAUGGCCCUUACGGCCAGGGCUACACACGUGCUACAAUGGUCGGUACAAAGGGUUGCUACCUCGCGAGAGGAUGCUAAUCUCAAAAAGCCGAUCGUAGUCCGGAUCGCAGUCUGCAACUCGACUGCGUGAAGUCGGAAUCGCUAGUAAUCGCGGAUCAGAAUGCCGCGGUGAAUACGUUCCCGGGCCUUGUACACACCGCCCGUCACACCAUGGGAGUUUGUUGCACCAGAAGUAGGUAGUCUAACCGCAAGGAGGACGCUUACCACGGUGUGGCCGAUGACUGGGGUGAAGUCGUAACAAGGUAGGCGUAGAUGA